rnacentral:rRNA from 1 species
GAGUUUGAUCAUGGCUCAGAUUGAACGCUGGCGGCAUGCCUUACACAUGCAAGUCGAGCGGCAGCGCGGGGGCAACCCUGGCGGCGAGCGGCGAACGGGUGAGUAAUACAUCGGAACGUGUCCAGUAGUGGGGGAUAACCAGUCGAAAGAUUGGCUAAUACCGCAUACGAUCUACGGAUGAAAGCGGGGGACCGCAAGGCCUCGCGCUAUUGGAGCGGCCGAUGUCGGAUUAGCUAGUUGGCGGGGUAAAAGCCCACCAAGGCGACGAUCCGUAGCUGGUCUGAGAGGACGAUCAGCCACACUGGAACUGAGACACGGUCCAGACUCCUACGGGAGGCAGCAGUGGGGAAUUUUGGACAAUGGGGGCAACCCUGAUCCAGCCAUGCCGCGUGAGUGAAGAAGGCC